UAAGUGACUUUUUAUAAGAAUGUCUAUACUUUGUGAUCCUUGAACAGAGCCCUCAGCUGAAAAGACACUGUAGAGCAGCACCAGACACUUAUUAAUGCCACACAACUUCUAAACAGGAGUUCAGCAGGUGAGGUCAAGAACUGAUAAAUCUACAUGAUUGUUUUUCCUGAUGGCUAUUCUGAUACUGAAUGGAAAAUGGGAGAUGUUCUGUGUUUUUACUUCUCACCAAAUUGUACUGCUUCAUUGUUUGACAAAGGUGCCCCAAAGAGAUAGUAUGUAAAUAAAUAACACAAAGUAAAAACAGAGAGCUCAAUCAUUUCCAUGUUUAAGCUAUGGACACGAUAACCACACUGAAUACCCAUUACCAGCCAAACUUUCAUUUUUAUUUUUUUACCUUCCCCAUCUCAGUGACCUAACCCAUAAAAUAAAAUAACAUGGUUAAUCUGAACUGAAUUCCUCAGCUUUCAUCUCUAUUUCUUUCAUCCAGAAUUCAGCCAAUACAGAUUUUAUAUCUUUCAGAGCAGUAGUAAACACAUGAAAUUGCUUCCUGGUGACUUGUUAUUAACUAGAUUCCAACUAAAUUCAUGAGGAUGCCUAUUCCAACUCCAAUCUAAACAAUCUUGAGCAGCCCAGGGUGGAUUGCUGAGACACACAAUAGAUCUCUGGCAGCUAUAGAAAUUAAACAUAAUCAGAAUAUGGAUGGUAGAAACCAAAGACGCCCUCUCACACAAAUGAAAACAUCCUUGUAAAAUACAGUCAGUUUAGCACAAACGUAUUCAGCCUUAAUUAGGUAGAAAAUCUAUUUAGAUGAAUGCAAUACAAAGAAUAAUAAUGAACUUCAGGAUUACAUUUUGUUACUUGGAGGGAAAAAAACAACACAAAUAAAUGGGAAGUAAUUGGACCUUAUUUAAUAGUCUCAGAAUAUCAGCUCGAACAACUAUAAUCAUUAAAGGCCCUGCAGUGAUCUUCUACUGAUAAAUGCUGUUAAAUCAGAAUUACAAUACAACAAGCAUGAAGAGCAAAGCCUAUUAAAAUGAGCAGCACUAAAAGAAAUAGAUUAAUUCAAAUCUUUUUUCACCAGCACCACAAGGAGUCUUUGAGCCAAGCACAUAGAAAUGAAAGGCUUCCAUGUUUCCUCUUGUUUUGGGUGAGAUUGAAAUAUUAACACUUCCACAGAGGUGAUUACUGCAGGGGGACUGCACAUGAGCAGCAGUUACCUGCUGCUGGAUUUGUGGAUGUGCCAGAUACUGGUUUGUACCUUCACAGAAAGUUCUUCUGCAAGACCAGUAGUUACAUUCAUAAAAUAAAUUUGCAAAAGCCAGAGGAUUAUUAUGGGCUGUGCCACCUACCUCCUUAGUUACCCUUUCAGCAGUUCAGCCUGGGACUGGCCUCAGCAGGGGUGGUCUGUGUGGUACUGCAUUCUCAGUUUUUGCAAAUUCAUUCAGAGCUAUACAAAUGAGUACUUUUAACAACAUGAUGAAAGAUGGCAGAGUUCUGGGGUUAAAAGAUACAGCAAAGUAAAAAUUUCUGACACCAAAAAUGAUGCACAUUAAGUUCAAAAACUUUUAAUUUUAUUAGCUCCAGCAAAGAUCGUGAAGAACAUAUGCAUUAGGAAAAGGCAUCAGAAAGUUUUCUAGGGAACUGCCCUCUUCCCUUUCUUGAAUAGAUACUCACUUUGGAGACCAAAGCCUUUUUCUGUACUGUACUAAACACACUGAGUACACUUGAGCCAAACACCAGAUUGCAUAGUGCCCAGCUUUCCUUCACCACAGAGCAACUUUCCUCUCAUGCUGUUAGCACAGUGCUGUCAAAACAGUUAUUUGUAAUUACACUGCAUUUAACAAUGGCCCUAUUUCCAUAACUCCCCACUAACAAUUCUGUCAGAAACAAGAACUCCCUCCACACACAGUCAGUGAUCAUAUCCCAGCACAUCCACAUCCUCAGCUGACAGAACCAGAUGGACAGCGCAGCAUAAUGUUAACUUAGUCACUGCUCAUAGACUAUGCCAGGCAGAAAAAUCAAAUAACAAUAUCCUCCACUGUUUCAAUGAACAUCAUUAUGUUAGAGCAUUAAAAAAAUGGAAGGCAGAGAAACAGUGAUGAAAAAUGAGCCCUGUCUAUCUAGAAAUUCUUGAUUGUGUCUUCCUCAUACUUUACUAUUCUAAACCAAAAAGUAAUGUAAAGUGAGCAGGGAAACUUUAAAUUUGCAUCGACAAAUAUUCAGAGAUUUUGGUAAGUUGUCUUCUAUAACAUCAGCACUAGUCCAAAACAUGCUGUGAGAGAAUGGAACAGGGGUGAUACUCCACAGUGGCAUUAUUUCCACUUAAUUGGAAUUAAAUGGGCAGUGGAAGGAUGAUUGCAGGAUGAGAUUACUACUCUUGGCUUUCUAUACAGCUGCUCUUUGGAUUUUUUUCUUGAUUUUGCAGCACUCAUGAACUCUCCCCAAGCAUGACAGGGUGAAAGGCAAAGCCACGUUUCAGUUCCAGGGACAAGGUGUCAGUGACGUCACACAUCCAGUGGUGCUUUCUCUCAUGGAACAAAUGAGAAAAUUCAAUCUCUGUUUUUAUAUCUCAAACCUGGUGUGUAGGACAGGAUUUAGUCUUUUAUGCACCAGAGAGUUCUCUUUUACAAGCAUAUUUAAUAAUCUACAGCAACCUUGGUGCACAUACUGCUACUGUUGUGCACUGUAAUUCUUUAGAAGGAAACUGUUUUGAGAAUUUUGUGAUUGCUGGAACGCAGUUUCAUUUGCAGAGACAGCACAAUGAUAGCUCACACAUCAUGCUAUGUAUAUCUUUCAAAACAUGUAUUUCUCAUUAGUAAUUUUACUAUGCCAACCAUUCCAAAUAUCAAAGUGACACCUGACAAUUAUAAUGCUACAUGUUCUCCAACAUAAUAAAACACUUCAGCAGAGUGAUAUUUGCAAGGGUUUAAAAGGAAGAAAUCUCUGCCUAAAAUCUCGCGUAGGAUGCAUCAACUGCAGAGAUGAGGGCACUGCCAGAAAUCAGCCUAAGGGAACGGUUGGUAUUAGAGAUUUGAAGCUAACAGCUUCUAAUGCAUGGUUUGUAAGGAGGGAUCUAUCCACAUGAAGCAAUGCCAAGGAAAGACAGACACACUACUCUGUGUUUCUUUAGUGAUGGGGGCAGAUCAAGUACAGCCAUUCCGCAAGCUUUGGCCCUUUGGUCAUAUCCAAGUGAAUGCAUAUCCAUAUAUCCAAGGGAAAAGACUUUCAGUAUUCUAUUUUGUCUGAUGAGCUGCUCUCAGUGGCACGAUGCUGCUGUGAAAGGUGCAAAUUCAGCAAGUGUCCACACUCCUGGUCCUUGCGCACAUCUGCCGGCAGCAGAUCGUCUCCCCUGGAAGCAGCCUGGAAAACCCACGGACGCCUCAAGGCUUCCCCGGAGAAGCCCCUUGUGGUGACAGCUUGCACAUAAUUCCCUUUCUGAAGGCCGGGCUGUUUCGGGAGAAGCAGCACGGGAAAGAUGCCGAAACUCGGCCUUUUGCCGCUCCCCCGCCGGGCCGGCCCCGCCGCGAUGGCACAGAAAUGUUUGCUCAAGCCCGAGCUGGCCGGAAUACCAAUGCAGGCCAGCAAUGAGCUGAAGGGCAAACAGGAAGGAGGGAAAAGCCCCUGUGACACAAAGGAAACAAAGGGCCGGAGAUGAGCGCUCCCAGCAGCAUGAAAUGAUGUUAGCCGAGCAGAUUUGAAGAAAGCGAGCCGAAGCCUGCUGUAAAUCCGCAUGUGAAAGGAUGCAUUUCGCAGACGCUGAAAGCCGAGAAGGAGCUGUCGUCUUCACUUAGUUAAAUUCCUGUGUGUCCUUUAGAGCAGCAAAAGCCGUCAUCAAGAAGAAACAACGAGCGUCUCUCUCUAUGGCUCAGAUUCUCAGUUUAUUCCCAAAUAAAUUCUAUAUUCUUCUGAAAGUA